UACGUAGGGGGCAAGCGUUGUCCGGAUUUAUUGGGCGUAAAGAGCGUGUAGGCGGUCAGGUAGGUCCGUUGUGAAAACUCGAGGCUCAACCUCGAGACGCCGAUGGAAACCAUCUGACUAGAGUCCGGAAGAGGAGAGUGGAAUUCCUGGUGUAGCGGUGAAAUGCGCAGAUAUUGGGAAGAACACCGGUGGCGCAAGCGGCUUGCUGGGCCAUAACUGACACUGAGGAACGAAAGCUAGGGGAGCGAAUGGG
rnacentral:rRNA from 1 species